rnacentral:misc_RNA from 1 species
UAAAUUUGGUGGUACCUGUGUGGGAACACCUGAAAGAAUUGGGAAUGUAGCUGAGAUAAUAACUGCUGAUCAAUCAGAGAGAAAGUUGGUAGUGGUAUCUGCAAUGUCAAAAGUAACUGACAUGAUGUAUGAUCUGAUUUACAAGGCACAGUCCCGAGAUGACUCGUAUAUAACAGCACUUGAUGCUGUUAGAGAGAAACAUAAAUUAGCAGCUGUUGAUCUACUUGAUGGAGACGACCUAGCUAGUUUCUUAUCUAAACUGCAAGAUGACGUGAACAACCUUAAAUCCAUGCUCCGUGCAAUAUAUAUUGCUGGUCAUGCAACAGAGUCUUUUUCCGAUUUUGUAGUAGGGCAUGGUGAGUUGUGGUCUGCACAUUUGCUAUCAUCUGCUGUCAGAAAGAAUGGUGUAGACUGUAAGUGGAUGGACACAAGGGAAGUGCUUGUUGUGAACCCGACAAGUUCUAACCAAGUUGAUCCAGAUUAUUUGAUGUCAGAGGAGAGACUUGAGAAAUGGUACUCCAAAAAUCCAUCUAAAACAAUCAUUGCAACGGGCUUUAUAGCUACCACGCCACAGAAUAUUCCCACUACUUUGAAGAGAGAUGGUAGUGAUUUCUCCGCUGCUAUAAUGGGGGCUCUUUUAAAAGCACAUCAAGUUACAAUCUGGACAGAUGUUG